GGUUCCGCCAUUUGAAAAAAAACGUUCGUAACUGCUCAGCUGAACCCGAAGCUUGAUGAAGAAGGCCGUCAAUAUUUCAACAAAAACUAACAGAAUAUGGAUCAGAUUCGGACAACGACUUCUUAAGACAUUCACACAACAGGCUAAACAAUUCAAAGAGGGAUCUCUGGAUGAUCGAGCAGCAAGUCCAGCAUUAUGUGGGAAAGAUACUACAGGUGUACACAGAAAAGGCCAUGUUCUUGUACAAGACACGGUUGGAGUUCAUAAAAGAUUAAGCUGCCUCGUGCUAUACAGACUUGGAUAAAAACAAGCUGUCCAAUGAAUGGUGACUACUCAAGAGGAGCCAGAAAGUCAACUAAAGCCAGGGUAUUUUGGGAGUUGAUAUGGCCGGGGAAGGGGGGAGGGGGGGUUUCCAGGGCCCCCCCCCUUCCUUGAGAUCUUGACCGCACAAUCGCGUCUAACAUUGGCACAUGGGUUGUCUAGGGCAUAAUUUACAAAAUUAAAUUGUAAAUUAUUUCACGCAAAUUGUUAGUAAGUGAUAAUACUAAUUUAUGCGUAAUUAGAAUACAAAAUCAUACUUUUUCCUCUAUUGCAUUGACUUUGUACACAAAAUCACGUUUUUUAGCAAUUUUUGGUAUGACAUGUACUUACAUAAUGUCACGUUAUUACAGAACCACGUACCGGGUGACACAAGAUUGGUCUCAAAAGAUGCACAAGACUAGAAAGAGGCAUGUUUUAAAAAAAUUGUGCGACAGCAUGGUCGCCAAAUUUUUGGAAGGGGGGGGGGGUCAAAUUGGUCCAAUUUAACUAAGGGUUAAUAACUGGGAGGCUGUUAGCUGCCUUUUUACUUUCAAGUCUUGCACAUCUUUUGAGACCAAAUUUGUGAUGCCUGGGUACGCUGUUCCGAAAUUUCGCAACAUUUUUAUGUAUUAAUCCAACACAAAUACUGUUUCUUGCUAAAAAUUCACAAUUAGUAUACCAGUAAUAUACAUUUAUCAAGUCAAAUUAUUUAAUUACAUUUAUAAUCAUAAAAGCUUUGAUAAAGUAUAAAAAAAAACAAAGAGUUGUAUGUAGGCCUGGGACUUUCGGGUUUUUUUUCUCUUCGGGUACCCGUGGUAAUUUUCGGGUGGGUACCUGAAAAUCAUGUCACUUGAAAUAUGACUGGUGGAAAAACCCCAUAGGUGACGUCAUCAAGCCAAUGCGAUGCAAGCCAAUUUAUGAAUGAAAAUAUAGUAAGCAUGCGCAUUGCAAGCCUCCCGUGCCCCACGCAGUAUUCCAUCGAAACAAGUUUCAAUACUCUGUCACCUCGUACCAAAAUCGACCUAGAAUUCCACUUUCCUAUAUAUCAUAUGAAUUAUAAAAGGUUUUCUCACCGAUACUGCACAGGUAAGCAAAUUUUUAUUCUUGCUUUUCCGUCAAAAUCUUACGAAGUAGCAUCGAUAUUACAUCGUGUUCGUGAGUUUGUAUCGCUACGUGAACAAAGUCAAUUGAUUUCCGGGUUUCGGAGCGUCAAAUGCGCCAGCCAAUCACGAUCGUGUUCCCAUUUUCGGUUUAUGAUGAACUAAAAAUGGUAACAAGAACGUGAUUGGCUGGUGCUUCGUAGGUCGAUUUUGGUAUGAGGUGACAGAGUAUUGCAGACUUGUUUUGACGUAAUACUGCGUGGGGCUGAGGCUUGCAAUGCGCAUGCUUACUAUAUUUUCAUUCAUAAAUUGGUUUGCGUCGCAGUGGCUGGAUGACGUCACUGCGCUGCAAAAGAAACAUGGCGAUGAUUGAACGAUCUCGGUCACAUCAUCAUCACUUGAAAACUUGUAUAUUUAUGGAUAUUUAGAGGGUAAUUGGUGAAAUUCAAAAUGAGGCUUGUGUACUUUUGUAAUGAGUUACAAUCAUGUCUUACACUACGCAAUACAAAUCAAAUACAUGUACAUUAUACUGGUGAGCAAUUUUCGGGUAUCGGGUAUUGAUUUUUCUACUCGGGUACCCGGGUUUUAGUCCCAGCCCUAGUUGUAUGAAAAUUUUCAAAAAUAAUGAAAGGUAAAAGAAAACAAGAUUACAAUGUCCAUUGCAAGGGGGCUAGUCUAGCUAUUCAGGAUAAUUGGGAUUUUAUUCAGUUUUUAAUUGACAUAACAUUAUGACAAGAUCCCUCCAUUUAGUGUAUAAACAGCACAUGGCCAUGAUUGAAAUUCAUAUAACAUUAAAGUAUGCAAACCAGGCAGCUACAUGUACAUGUAGGACUCACUGCUUGUCAAUUCUAUUGUCUGCCAGGGUCAAGUGACAUACAGUGCACAUGUAUAACAUGUGUGAAAGUACAUAAGAAAAUCAGCUUUUUAUUUUUGUACUGUAACAUUGGGUGAACUGGUGAUCACUUUGGAUAUGAUGCUCUUCAUAUUGGUUUAUUUUAUGUAUAUGAAUUUUUGGAUAAUCAUUAAGAAUUAAAGCCAUUUACUUAAUAUAUGGAAGCAUAAGCCCAUCAAAGAACAGAAUUAUGUCAUGUACAGCUAAUUCAUUUUGCGUGAUAUUACAAUUGUAAUUGUUUACUUGAGCAAGUAAUUUGAAUUGCUGCAUGACCUAAACAAUGACAUGUUCCAAUUCGAAUAGUAACAUGACCUAAAGAAGAGUUACUCCACCUCGAUUGAGAGUGCUUAUGUUAAAUAAUUGAUGUUGCUACUUCAAAUAAUUGAGGUCAAUCAAAUUGGUCAUAAUUAUUCAAGUCAAUUUUGAGCUAUAUGUCAUAAUUAAUUAGGUCAUAUACUAAUUGAAAUUACUAAAUGACUCGAGUAGGUAUGAAUUCACAUUGCCACAUGACCUUAAUUAUUUUAUGUAGCAACAUCAAGUAUUGAACGUCAUUUAGUUAUCAAUUAUGACAUGUAGCAAAUCAAAUUACAUGCCGCAAUUUCGUGUUUAUGAUGGGCUCAUGCUUACAUUCAUAUAUAACCCUUCAAUACGUAGUUGGAGCAAUUCUUAGACAAGAAGACUGUGUAAAAUGAUAUGCCUAUUCAAUGUCAAAAAGGUUAAUGUCUCAAUAGAUUUGAUCUACGUUUUGGCAAAGUAAUCUUAUGUUCAUAUUUUUUCUAACCUAUGGUGAACGUUCUAAAUCAUGUGAAAUUCAUUCAAAAAUAUCUUUCAGUAUUUAUGGACUUAAGUGAAUUCUGAGCAAAAUGAAGUGAUUAUGAUUACGUUCAUGUACUUUAAGUUUAUACUGGUGAUCAACACAUCAUAAUUUCAUCCCUUACUGUAUGUGCACCAUGCAUUAUCUGUACAUGCAGAAGUGGUUAUCCAUUGUUUCAUAACAUGGUUGAGUAAAGGAUGUUCUGCUUUUAGUAUUAAGCCAAUCGGGUGUUGACAAGAAGGGGAAAAUGCAAUUGCCCAGCUAUUACAGUUUUUUUUGCAACCAUAAUACUGGUUAAGCCUUGGUUACAUUCGCCGGCUCGUGGCCUUACGUCGAGUCAAAAUUAACAGUCUUAAUCAUCCUUGUACCAGCUACUACCAGCUACACGUGGGUGGUUUGUACAGGAAUACCUAAAACUGCUGAUUUUGUCUCGCCGUAAGGCAACCGGUCAAGGAAUGUGACCAAGGUAUUAAUAAUAAUCGCUUAUUGUUGUGUUAGAGGGAAGGAUUCUGGGUCGAAUCUAGCUUUCUUUAUGUGAUCUCAAAAUGGCAGCAAUGUAUGAAUAGUGAAAGUAGUUCAUGUGGCAUCUCAAUGUUCAUGGAUAUAAAUCUUUGUACAUGUCUUAUCCUAAAGAUGAAAUGUUACUGCAUUAUUCUAGCAGUCAUUUAUGAUAUCAAAGAUGUUCUAUACUGUGCAUAGUACAGCUCAUACAUAAUAAAGGUAUGUGAAUAUGCUUUUAA